CCUACGGGUGGCAGCAGUGAGGAAUAUUGGUCAAUGGACGAGAGUCUGAACCAGCCAAGUAGCGUGAAGGAUGACUGCCCUAUGGGUUGUAAACUUCUUUUAUCUGGGAAUAAAAUGUUCCACGUGUGGGAUUUUGUAUGUACCAUAUGAAUAAGGAUCGGGUAACUCCGUGCCAGCAGCCGCGGUAAUAAGGAGGAUCCGAGCGUUAUCCGGAUUUAUUGGGUUUAAAGGGAGCGUAGGUGGAUUGUUAAGUCAGUUGUGAAAGUUUGCGGCUUAACCGUAAAAUUGCAGUUGAAACUGGCAGUCUUGAGUACAGUAGAGGUGGGCGGAAUUCGUGGUGUAGCGGUGAAAUGCUUAGAUAUCACGAAGAACUCCGAUUGCGAAGGCAGUUCACUGGACUGCAACUGACACUGAGGCUCGAAAGUGUGGGUAUCAAACAGGAUUAGAUACCCUAGUAGUC
rnacentral:rRNA from 1 species